AUGAACGCUGGCGGCGUGCCUAAUACAUGCAAGUCGAGCGAACGGACGAGAAGCUUGCUUCUCUGAUGUUAGCGGCGGACGGGUGAGUAACACGUGGAUAGCCUACCUAUAAGACUGGGAUAACUUCGGGAAACCGGAGCUAAUACCGGAUAAUAUUUUGAACCGCAUGGUUCAAAAGUGAAAGACGGUCUUGCUGUCACUUAUAGAUGGAUCCGCGCUGCAUUAGCUAGUUGGUAAGGUAACGGCUUACCAAGGCAACGAUGCAUAGCCGACCUGAGAGGGUGAUCGGCCACACUGGAACUGAGACACGGUCCAGACUCCUACGGGAGGCAGCAGUAGGGAAUCUUCCGCAAUGGGCGAAAGCCUGACGGAGCAACGCCGCGUGAGUGAUGAAGGUCUUCGGAUCGUAAAACUCUGUUAUUAGGGAAGAACAUAUGUGUAAGUAACUGUGCACAUCUUGACGGUACCUAAUCAGAAAGCCACGGCUAACUACGUG
rnacentral:rRNA from 1 species